CAGUCGCCGCGGUAAUGCGUAGGUGGCAAGCGUUGUCCGGAAUUAUUGGGCGUAAAGCGCGCGCAGGCGGAUCAGUUAGUCUGUCUUAAAAGUUCGGGGCUUAACCCCGUGAGGGGAUGGAAACUGCUGAUCUAGAGUAUCGGAGAGGAAAGUGGAAUUCCUAGUGUAGCGGUGAAAUGCGUAGAUAUUAGGAAGAACACCAGUGGCGAAGGCGACUUUCUGGACGAAAACUGACGCUGAGGCGCGAAAGCCAGGGGAGCGAACGGGAUUAGAUACCCCUGUAGUCCCUGUCUCUUAUACA
rnacentral:rRNA from 1 species